UAGAGGGUGUUGAAGAAGGCCUCAGGAUGGAGAGCAGCGGCCGCCCCCACACAGCUCACGGCCAGGGCCUUCACACUGACCCGCACCUCCCUGUCCGGCACCAGCCCUGCAGCACACCCAACGCACAAGCAGUCAGUAGGAAGGAAGCGGCCAGCAGGCGCACACAGUGGACCAGAGGCUCCUCCUUGGGGUCGGUGUAGUGUCCAAUCACCCCUUUGAUCCUGGACGGCUGCGGGACCAACAAGUAUGCUCACCUUGGUCUCUGGGUCGGGGGGCUCCAGCUGCUCAUCCUUUGGUAUGAAGCGGUCCACACUGCUGUCCGACGCCUGCCUGUUGUGACCUUUCCCUUCCAGCAGGUGGGGCCUCGUCAUGGCUUUGGGAGCAGGGAGCAAAGAGAACACACAUUACUUGUGUGAUAUUUGGGACUGAAUUCAUGUCCAAGACAUACUGUUGCUUCACAGACUUUAUUUUCAUCAAGUGGGCAUUUCUAAUGUCACAGAUGAUUGCUGACGUUGGCACACGUACCUAACACGGACUGGGAGAAGGACUCCAGAGGUUCAUCUGGGCCAGGAGCGCCACCCUCUUCCUCCUCAUCUUGUAGUGUUCCAAUCUGCAUCCCUGAAUACUGACUCUCACUACCAUCCAGAACCUUUCACACACACACACACAAAUACAUUUUUACACAACUGACAAAUUCAGACACAGCUAGGUCUAGGCUGAACUGUAUGUAUAAGCUGUUGACAGAAUAACAAAGAUAACCAAACAUUCAUUAAACAGUAACUGACCAUUCA